UGGGGAAUUUUGGACAAUGGGCGAAAGCCUGAUUCAGCAAUGCCGCGUGUGUGAAGAAGGCCUUCGGGUUGUAAAGCACUUUUGUCCGGAAAGAAAUCCUUGGCUCUAAUACAGUCGGGGGAUGACGGUACCGGAAGAAUAAGCACCGGCUAACUACGUGCCAGCAGCCGCGGUAAUACGUAGGGUGCAAGCGUUAAUCGGAAUUACUGGGCGUAAAGCGUGCGCAGGCGGUUUGCUAAGACCGAUGUGAAAUCCCCGGGCUCAACCUGGGAACUGCAUUGGUGACUGGCAGGCUAGAGUAUGGCAGAGGGGGGUAGAAUUCCACGUGUAGCAGUGAAAUGCGUAGAGAUGUGGAGGAAUACCGAUGGCGAAGGCAGCCCCCUGGGCCAAUACUGACGCUCAUGCACGAAAGCGUGGGGAGCGAACAGGAUUAGAUACCCUGGUAGUCCACGCCCUAAACGAUGUCAACUAGUUGUUGGGGAUUCAUUUCCUUAGUAACGUAGCUAACGCGUGAAGUUGACCGCCUGGGGAGUACGGUCGCAAGAUUAAAACUUAAAGGAAUUGACGGGGUCAUAGCUGUUUCCU
rnacentral:rRNA from 1 species